CUGACUUGUUUCCUGAGGAAGGGAACAGGAAUCAUUUAUCUAGUGUUUGGGAAAACCCAAUGUCAAGCACAGACAUGCCCUGCCUCUGACUGAGGAGCCAGGCAUACUGGGGAGGAAUCUUGCCAAUGCAACACCAUCCCUUCUCCUUGUGAUCUCUGGUGCUUCAUUUAGAUGCCAUUAAAUUGCCUCAUUGCUGCCCUAUAAAAGGUCUCCCCACCUGCUAGUUUUUCAGAUCACUGACUUCUUCCAGUCUUGCUCCUAUCAGCAAAGAGGAAGGAAGAAGGGAAGUCACCCUGGAGAGAACUGGUGGCAGGGGUCAAUCAUCUGGGAGCAGCAAUUUCCAAAGGAUUUUGCAAAGCCACAGAACAAUGUGUGACCAGCAGAAGCAGCCACAGUUCCCUCCAUCUUGUGUGAAAGCUACUGCUGUCUGGCUCCCCGGACCUUCGGGGUGAGUCCCCUGAGACGCUGGAUUCAGCGGCCCCAGAACUGCAACACAGGAUCAUCUGGCUGCUGUGAGAAUUCGGGAAGCUCUGGAUGCUGUGGUUCUGGGGGCUGUGGCUGCAGCUGUGGAUGUGGCAGCUCUGGGUGCUGCUGUUUGGGAAUUAUCCCCAUGAGGUCCCGAGGUCCUGCAUGCUGUGACCAUGAGGAUGACUGCUGCUGCUAAACAUACGACAGCUCAACUCCAGAAUGCACUGCCCCGCUACCCCUUCUGGAACAUGCACCAGCUUCUGGCCCCCUCUCUGUUAGUGCCAGUGAUGUAGAACCUCAUCACUUUGCCUCUGUGCUUUGCUUCUCUACCAAGGCAGCCUGCCAGAGUUAGUACAGUCCCCAAACUUUGGCAUGAAUAAAGCUCUGAAUGCAUUUCGUGGUAAUUUCUGUCUGUUUGUUUGGUCCAUAUUUAUGCUUUUCUAUCAGGCACUCUUCUGCAUCCCUCUCUUCUUACUCUUGUUUCUCAGCUAGAGGAAAGAUCUGCACGAACAUGAACAAGCAGACUGAGCUGGUGAAAUCCCAGCCUGGGAGCCCCAUGCCUUCUAGAAUGCUGUGAAUAAACUUUCCCACGCAAGUUAGAA
rnacentral:lncRNA from 1 species